CAGACGCACCCAUACAUGCAAUGAAGAAACAGCUUACAUACAUGUGCACGUACAUGCAAGGUUAAAGUAGCGACACUUAACAUACACCUGUUUUUAAAUGAUAUAGUUCAUACAUUACUGACAAUUAAACGCUUUGGGUUGCAGGACAACAACGUAACGUCAAAAGACAAAGACACUGGUCUGAGGAUUAAGUGAGGACACGACAAAUUUAGUGGUUAAAAGGGUCGACUUGGGACAUGUUUUUGUUGAUUGUUUAAGACAAAUGACUACUGAAUGAUAGGAAAUUCUUUUUUAGGUUUCUAAACAGGAUCUAAAGAAUUUUAACACGUACCUGUGUUGUCCUGUCAACUUGAGGGGUUAUGAGUUGAUUAUAUGGAGAAAAAAAAAAAAAAAAAAACAAAAACAAAAAAGGGGGGAGACGAGAUCUCGUUGUUUCUCCCCUCUCGGGAUAACACAGCCAACACAGCACAGCCAACACAACAUCAUUUUCCUGUUCGCCUGUUUUGUUUUGUUUUUGUUUUUUCUGAGAGCCGAAGCUGACCUGGACUCCUACCCUCCCCUCUAUCAUCGUUGCCCUCUCCGCGACCAUCUUUGACCCUUUGACCCCUGAAGGCCACAGCAGCUGGACUCACAACAACAACUUGAGGAUGUCAACAGUGCUGCAAAAGAGUGAUCUCAUGCAGCAGAGACGGAGAGCACUAAACCUAAAGCCCGUUUCACUACACGGGGGAAAUUCCCAGGCUGCGUCAGCUGACAGAGCUGUGACGAGACGCGCAUUAAGCCCGGAGGAAAAGGGACGGUGAGCAGAAGGAUGCUGACCUCUGAGAAGAGCCGAACAGCAGAGCUGCAGAAGGCCGUGGAGCAAAGUAAGGAAGAUGCAGGCAGCUGCAACAACGGAUGAAAACAGACCCAAAGAGGAGGGGAGGACCCUAGGCCAUGCGUCAGGCCGCUGGUUUACCUAAACUACAGAACAGGAAGAUCUGCACAUCGGAAAUUACAAGCAUUACACGUCGGCGAGAAAAUUGUUGACAGCUGUUACUGCUUUCGUCGGGAACCGAGACUGCUUGCAGCCGACCCCUGGGCAGGGUGGUGCCUGGACUCUUUUCUCCUCAUCUGCAAUGACAGAUAAAGACAAAUGAUAAGACCCGAGGAGUUUUUCGAGCCAGGCUUCGACACGUCUCUGUGUUCCUUUGAAUGUUACUUAUUUUUGUGUGUUGACCCAUUUAAGAUGGGUCAAAAGGGGGAUUUGAAGAAAAUAUAAUCUGAUCAAACAUUAUUCAGCUUUAAAUAUUGUUCAGCUUUAAAGUUACUGUGCAACUGUGUAAUAAAAAUGUGCUCACGACUUUGGCCUUGAGAGCGAUAAGAAGCGAUCGCCUCAUUCUGCAGGUGCAAGAUAUCUGCAAGCGAAGAGACUAGAACACCCAAGGCCGCUUUCCUUUUAUGGAGUUGUUUUUCUGCUAAUGCAGCACUGUCCUCACAACCCCCUCCUGUAAGUUUUAGAGAAUAUAUACCCAUCCUCACAGCAAAUAUUAGGAAUCUCCUG
ensembl:lncRNA